rnacentral:rRNA from 1 species
CCUACGGGAGGCAGCAGUGGGGAAUAUUGGGCAAUGGCGGAAACUCUGACCCAGCAACGCCGCGUGAAUGAUGAUGGUCUUCGGAUGGUAAAGUUCUUUUCUAAGGGAAGAAUAAAGUUACGGUACCUUAGGAAUAAGCCUCGGCUAACUACAUGCCAGCAGCCGCGGUAAUACGUAGGAGGCAAGCGUUAUCCGGAAUGACUGGGCGGAAGGGGUGCGUAGGUGGUGUGACAAGUUGGUAGCGUAACUCCGGGGCUCAACCGGGGCACUACUACCAAUACUGUCGGACUUGAGUGCAGGAGGGGCAAAUGGAAUUCCUAGUGUAGCGGUGGAAUGCGUAGAUAUUAGGAGGAACACCAGUGGCGAAGGCGAUUUGCUGGACUGUAACUGACACUGAGGCACGAAAGCGUGGGGAGCAAACAGGAUUAGAUACCCUUGUAGUC